rnacentral:rRNA from 1 species
AUUGAAAGCUGGCGUCUUCGGCGUCCGCAUUGUAAUCUCAAGAAGUGUUUUCCGCUUCGGACCAUGCCUAAGUCCCUUGGAAAAGGGCAUCAUAGAGGGUGAUAAUCCCGUACAUGGCAUGGAGCGCCCGAAGCUUUGUGAUACGCUUUCUACGAGUCGAGUUGUUUGGGAAUGCAGCUCAAAAUGGGUGGUAAAUGCCAUCUAAGGCUAAAUAUUGGGGAGAGACCGAUAGCGAACAAGUACAGUGAUGGAAAGAUGAAAAGAACUUUGAAAAGAGAGUUAAACAGUACGUGAAAUUGCCAAAAGGGAAGGGUAGGAGGUCAGAGAUGCGUCUUGGGAUUCAGCCUUGCUCUUGCAUGGUGUUUUUCCCAAGUUGCAGGCCAACGUCGGUUUUGGGCACUGGAGAAGGGUAGGAGGAACGUGGCACCUCUCGGGGUGUGUUAUAGCCUCCUACUGGAUACAGCGACCGAGACCGAGGAACGCAGCGUACUCGUAAGAGCGGGCCUUUUGGCACCUUUACGCUUAGGGCGUUGGCAUAAUGGCCCUCUACCACCCGUCUUGA